GGGCCUGUAGCUCAAUUGGCGGAGCGCUUGGCUGGCAGUCAAGAGGUUAGGGGUUCGACCCCCCUCAGGUCCACCU
rnacentral:tRNA from 2 species